UGCAAUAGUCCAAAACAGAAAAAAAAACAUGUUCCAGAGAAAUGAAGAGCAUAUUCACAAUUUUAUGUCGACGCAUUCUAACCAAAAGCAUCACGUAACCAUUACCAUUAAAAGCACUUUGUAUCUUGAUUGGUUCAGAUCCUUGCGUUAUGGGCUGGAUGAUUUCAUUGGCACCUUGCAAAGACUUGAUAUUGUAGUCCACAGCAAAGAAUCUCCAACUGUCAGUCUCAGCUGUCUUACAAAAUCAUCACGGUUCAUCUUCUUGGCCCUGAAUUGUUCAUAUUGCAUAUAAAUAUGCUCCAUGUCUUUAGAAGGAACUUUAUUAGAGAUAGCAGCAAA
rnacentral:misc_RNA from 1 species